UAGGGAAUCUUCCGCAAUGGACGCAAGUCUGACGGAGCAACGCCGCGUGAGUGAAGAAGGAUUUCGGUUCGUAAAACUCUGUUGUUAGAGAAGAACAGCGCAUAGAGUAACUGUUAUGCGUGUGACGGUAUCUAACCAGAAAGCCACGGCUAACUACGUGCCAGCAGCCGCGGUAAUACGUAGGUGGCAAGCGUUGUCCGGAUUUAUUUGGCGUAAAGCGAGCGCAGGCGGUUAGAUAAGUCUGAAGUUAAAGGCAGUGGCUCAACCAUUGUAGGCUUUGGAAACUGUGUAACUUGAGUGCAGAAGGGGAGAGUGAAAUUCCAUGUGUAGCGGUGAAAUGCGUAGAUAUAUGGAGGAACACCGGUGGCGAAAGCGGCUCUCUGGUCUGUAACUGACGCUGAGGCUCGAAAGCGUGGGGAGCAAACAGG
rnacentral:rRNA from 1 species